AGCAAUGAUCGAUGUCACGCUUGGAGAGCACUGGCUGCUGGGAGAGGAGCCAAGUGGCCAACUGGCCGAUACAACGGAACAGCUGUGAGCAAGAUAAUGCAGUUGGAUUCCCUUAGAUGUGACAGACAUUCAUCCUGAUCCUUAAUUCAGUUUCCAUUGGGAGGACAGAUCUCAGCUACUUUUAGAAGACAUUUUGGAAGACAGGAAGGCCAGAUACUUCAGGCAAGAGGCAUAAUGACUUGGGGCACAGACCACUAAAAAAAAAAAUCAAUCCUGAAUCCCUGAGGCUUCCGUACUCUUGUUGAGAAGGCAGAACCUAGUGUUUCAUCAAAUUUUUUGUGAUAACCAUUGAUGACGUUGCAGAAACCAUGAUAAUGUAAAAUAAUGGAUUAAAUUUGUAUGAGCAUAACUGUAGUGAUGAAACAAUUUAAACUCAUUUCUGAAGGCAUUCAUGCACUGGUGCUUGCUCAGGGUGUGAGCUAGAAGGCCACUAUCCCUUCAAAAUUAGACAGAGAUGUUGAUGACCAUUCUCAGUUAUUAUACUUCUAAAUUACAGCCUGUCCUCAUCCUUGAAGAUCAAAAAGGGAGUAAUUUCUGUUUUACAGGAGAUUACUUGCACUACAAGUCUAACUCUUGUUCACUUUGAGGUACUUAAAUAAAUCUGGAGCCCUGGCUGUAGGACAGACAGACAGUUCCAGUGGGAAAAUCAGCUCUGAAUUUCAUAAUGGGAAUUUCAUUCAUUUUCUGAAUGUGUUCAUCCUUAUCCAUUAGCCCAGAGGACCCAGGACUAGCAGACGCCUUUGAAAUUCAGCCCACUGCCUCAGGUUAGAUUAAAUGAAUCCAUACUUCUGAUCAGCAGAGUUAAAAAAAAAUACAAAACCCAAACCAACCAAAAAGCAUCAACAACCACAUAACCAUAUAAUAAUAUGGAAGGAAAUAAAGGACAAGGGAUAUUUUUAUUUGUGCAGCUGACCAGAUAUUUCCAUCUUUGGAUUGCUCCCUCUGCUGCCUGCAAGGUAGCUGGAGGGGAGCUAGCAAAGCUACCCAGGUGGACUCUGCAUCCCUCUUCCUCGCCCAACUCCCAGCAUUAGAGAUGCCGACAGUUACUAGAUAAAGUUAAAGACUCAUGUAGUGAUCUUCACACUAAUUGGACUGUAAUGUAUAGCCUCGGUCAAGCAAAUCUCUCCCAGCACUCCUCUCCACAGACGACAAUCAAGCCAUUUACAGAAGAUGCAUCGGCUGCUGGGACCCUGGAGUAACCUUAAACUACGCUGGCCUUUUAGCAGAAAACACAAUUAAUUUUGAUACUGAAGGGCAAUUAGGACUGGGGUUAAAAUAAAAAAUCUUCUGAACAGAGAAUGUCAAAGACUGGUAAGGAAACUAUUUCCCUUGUACACAGCUUGUUGAAGGUCUGUAAGCACGGCGACUGUCAGCUCACGUUAAUUCAUAUCACUUUGAAAACCUCUCAUUUCAAUGUAGGAAAUAUAAAUUCAGAUUAAUAAGCACUGUGCUCAAACCUCACUAAGACUGAUGGCUGUUUUCUUUAAGUCUUUUGCUGCUGAAAUGAGCACAGCUUCUCCCUCUUGCUGGGGAAACCUGUUUUACAUCCCAGAAUGUAGUGAAAUGACCAAAUGCAUUUAUUUUGUUCUGUUUCAUUUCUAAAAGAAGAUAGUCUCCCAGAUGACACUCUGCAGAUCACGGCUGAGAGCAAAUCUUGUCAGCAACUCUGUAAACUACUCUUUAGAAAUACAGAAGAUGUUCACAGUAAUACAUAUCUACAAUGCACCCACAUGCCCUGAUGCAUGUGCAAGGCAGCCAAAAUUUUGACCUCGCCUGCACAAACCGCAUAGGUCGAUGCCACUCUCAAUAAGUCAAGCAAAUGCACCAGGUUUGUUGGUUGUGGGUUUUCCUGUUUCUGUUGUUAUUUCACAGAAUCAUAAUUAUAGAAUGGCUUGGGUUGGAAAGGAUGUUAAAGUCCAUUCAGUUACAACCCACCCACCAAAACGGGCUUCCCAGGACUCCAUCCAUCCUGGCCUUGAGUGACUCCAGGGAUGGGGAAUAAUACCUCCAUGAAUGGGGCAUAACACCUCCACAAAUGGGUCAUUCGCCCCCCCCCCACUUCCCCCCCGAAAAAAAAUAUCAGUUCAACACUGAGCUGAAGCCAUGAGUGUCACUGACAUAACUGAAGCAUGAGAACAGCCAUACUGGCACAGAAAGAUGAAUGCUCAGGAACAACGUGUACAAUCCUGAUCCUGCCACACUUAUAUUAGGCAAAGAUUUCAGACGCAUUAUCAUGACAGUUCAGGAACAGAUAGGCAGCUUCAAUAUAAAUAAUCUCAAAAAAAAAGUCAAGCUUUUGGCCAGUAUAUGAGAAAACAAUGAGAGACAUUUUAUACUGUUUCAAGGGAUGGGAUGUUUGUGAAUCUUUUCCUCAAAACGCUCCCUGAACUUGCAGAUCUUCCAAGUGUAUACUAAGGAGGUUUACCAGCCAGUGGUACCCAUGCAACAAAGUCAUCACAACUCCUGCAACAAAUCCUAUGGCCUUGACUUUGAAAAUCUGUUCCUGCUUUGGUCCAGGCUUAGUAGAGGACUUUCUUUUCUCCAUGACCUCCAAAGUGCUAUCAGAUGUCUGAGGUUCUCUUUUCUGUUUAAAGGACACUCCAAUUUGAAGAGAACUGUUUUCUCAUCUCAGGCUCAGGCAGCCAUCCCACAAGCUUUACUCGGGAAACCACUAACUGAUGUUAGAUUUACACAGUGGGUAGUUUUUAUCUAUGUUUUUCUUAAAAGCAGCAUCCUGGGGGAAUCUCUCAGUGGCAAAACCAGCACAAGCAGCACUAACAGUCAAUAGAGCAUCUGAGGAGUUCGCAGGG
ensembl:lncRNA